GUGCUCGUCUUGGCAGCACAUAUACUAAAAUUGGAAUGAUACAGAGAAGAUUAGCAAGGCCCCUUCGCAAAAAAGUCCUGGUUGGGGUCAUAGACCUGGUCUUU